rnacentral:misc_RNA from 1 species
GUAUAUUAAAAAUUUAUUUAAAAAAUAAAUACUAAAAUUCAAACCGUUAAAGUUCAGUGCUUGAAUAUUGUUGAGCAUCUUUUUGUGCAAGUGUUGAAAUUAAACACAUGAUGAGCUAAGACGCAACAGCUAAUUAACAGACUCAGUUCUUGCCCUUCUUCCACUUCAAAUGUUACACCAAACCAACAUUCUUUCCAUGCUCAUGUCACACCAAACACAAUCAAACCUAGUUACAACACACGCAACUCCACGAGGAAAAGAAAAGCAUUCGCAAAAGCUUUGCGAUUGUACAAAUUAUUUUCAGAGCUGUGAAAUUUCGAAUUUGAGAAAAAAAAUUGGAUAAAUCACAGCUCACAGGGCACUUGACCCUAUCAACUUGGUUAGUCCAAACGUUAUGGCCAUAGCCAUUAGUCCUCCAACCAAAACCCUAGCAGAAGACCUAACCACUGGUGCCUUCCCCAAUACAGCCCCUAAACACCCAAAAACCACCAAAGCCAAACUCACUGCACCAACUACGACACCUAGCCUCGCGUUAUAGUUCCUUAUAAAAGAAGCAGCCAGUAGUGGCACCAUUGCACCCACUGAAAAGGCAAGAGCUGAGGCUGCAGCUGCUUGCAGUGGAUUUGGCAAACUCUCUUUCUCUCCUUUUUCUUCACCUCCAUUUUCUUGUUUUCCUCCAUUAUUAUUACCUCCUCUUUGCUCGUCUCUUUUCAUCUGAGCCAACUCUAUGUCCAACUGUGAGUACACAGACACAAACUCACCUAUUGCCAUACUACAAGCCCCAGCUACCAACCCUGCAAAACCAGUAAGUAUCAUGGCCUUGAUGUCUUGUUUCACAGCACCAACACCCAUCAUCAGCGAUGCAGUGGAGACCAAACCAUCGUUGGCCCCAAGAACAGCUGCUCGUAGCCAUUGUGCUCUUUUUGAGUAGUCGAAGUCCUCCUUAUUGGCUUCUUGAAGCUCUAGUACUGUCCCCUGUUGCUCAACAUCAUUAAUUGCCGGAGGAAACUUAUUAUUGGUGUUGGUUGCCAUGGAAGAAAAUGAUGAAGGAUUGGAAAUGAUAAAGAUGUAUUAUAAUGGUGAUAGUGAUUGAGGAGGAGGAG